GCAUAUCAAUAGCGGAGGAAAAGAAAUCCAACAGGGAUUACCUCAGUAACGGCGAGUGAAGCGGUAACAGCUCAAAUUUGAAAUCUGGCUCUUUCAGGGUCCGAGUUGUAAUUUGUAGAAGAUGCUUUGGGUGUGGCCCGGGUCUAAGUUCCUUGGAACAGGACGUCAUAGAGGGUGAGAAUCCCGUAUGUGACUCGGCGCCUUCGCCCGUGUAAAGCUCUUUCGACGAGUCGAGUUGUUUGGGAAUGCAGCUCAAAAUGGGUGGUAAAUUUCAUCUAAAGCUAAAUAUUGGCCAGAGACCGAUAGCGCACAAGUAGAGUGAUCGAAAGAUGAAAAGCACUUUGGAAAGAGAGUUAAACAGUACGUGAAAUUGUUGAAAGGGAAGCGCUUGCAACCAGACUUAGUUGCUGUCGAUCAUCUCGGGUUCUCCCGGGUGCACUCGGCAGUAUCUAGGCCAGCAUCGGUUUGGGUGGUGGGAUAAAGGCCUUGGGAAUGUAGCUUCUUUCGGGAAGUGUUAUAGCCCUCGGUGCAAUGCCGCCUACCCGGACCGAGGACCGCGCUUCGGCUAGGAUGCUGGCGUAAUGGUUGUAAGCGACCCGUCUUGAAACACGGACCAAGGAGUCUAACAUCUAUGCGAGUAUUUGGGUGUCAAACCCAUAUGCGUAAUGAAAGUGAACGGAGGUGAGAACCCUUAAGGGUGCAUCAUCGACCGAUCCUGAUGUCUUCGGAUGGAUUUGAGUAAGAGCAUAGCUGUUGGGACCCCGAAAGAUGGUGAACUAUGCCUAAAUAGGGUGAAGCCAGAGGAAACUCUGGUGGAGGCUCGCAGCGGUUCUGACGUGCAAAUCGAUCGUCAAAUUUGGGUAUAGGGGGCGAAAGACUAAAUCGAACCCAUCUAGUAGCUGGGUUCCUGCCGAAGU
rnacentral:rRNA from 1 species